UUUUUUUUUUGUAGUGUUUUGGUUUUGUUUUGUUUUGUUUGGCUUGGUUUUUUUUAAAUUUUAUUUUAUUCUUAUAUUUUCUCCUUUUGGAGCCGGGCUGGAAGAAGACCAAUGCUUUGUGUCCAGAAUAAAGCCUCAAGGAGCAGAGAAAACCAAGUAAGUGCAGUAUUUUGGGCCGCCACGUUUGACAAGCACACACAGAGGAUGAAGCAGGCUGCCCUCCUGAGCAAUGGUUUUGCCAGGACCUGGCUGCCUUUAAGUCAGGCUGAUGUGGAUCUCCAGUACUGGAGUGAGCACUUGCAUUGUGUUCCAUGGAUGUGUUGUGCUCCCAUUGUUAAUAAUCCUCCUGGGACUAGAAGUGAGGUCAUUUUGUCAAGUUGUUAUAGACUGGCUGCCACUAAUGGGAAGCUCAGUGCAGUGGUUACACCCUGGUAUAUACUGAGCUUGGAUUGAAAAGAAGGGGAUAAACAAUCUCUUUCCCCUUUGAUCAACUGAUGUUACUUUUUUCCUGUUUUUUUCCCUGCCCAAAUGUUAUCUUUGCAGUGCUGAAUCUCUUACUGAGGGUUUUGCUGCAUCAAAUGUUGGGUUUUUUUGGUGAUGUUCCUUCUUUCUUUGAAUACAUGUAAGUAAGAGCGAAUAGUAAUAAUCAUGCUGUGUGUUUGACAGGUUCAGUGGGAUCAUGCUCCAAGCCCAAGAAGGUUUCUUUGAGCAGGGCACCCAAAAUUAACUGUUACCAUGUUAGGAGAUAGGGCUGCCCCGUAUUUGAUACAUGACUAAUGUUCUUCAUGUCAAUAAAGAGAAAGAAGACAUGAGGUUGUUGAGGCUGUGGCUGUGUUUGUUGCAGUUCCCAGCUAGCCUGGGUAUGGGACUGAUAUUUCUUGUAACAUCUUCUCUCCCGGUGAAUCCUGAAGUGAACUAAUAAUUUAGUAGAAAGUCAGCCCAUGGCAGGGGUUAGAAUGAGAGUGUCUUUAAAAUCCCUUUCAACCCAAACCAUUCUGGGAUUCCAUGACUAGACAAGAUGCAAGUGAUCAGUAAAGACCCCACUGUCCACCCAGAAGUGUUGAUGGUCAUGUGCUGUGGACAUAGGUGACCCUGAAAUAGGUGGGAGGUGGACACGUGUUUCAUUGCAGUCCCUGCCUCUCCAAGGCAGGUUAGGAUGUGUGACUGCAGGAGUUCAAUUACAGGUGACCUCGUUAUUUAUCGUACACAGACCUGAUAGAUGCUGCUCCUGUUAUUUUUUCACAGAACAGUCAAUUCCUUGUGUAACUCCUGGUCUGUCUGCACUGUUAGUCCCCAGGGAGAUGCAGAGAUGUGGAUGAUUUUCUUUGUCCAUGGCCUGUGGUCUUUGAUUCCCUGAAAAAUACCUUGGCCAGAAAGUGAUGCUGUGUCUCUUUGUUGUUUCACACAUUGUUAAGCUUUAAAUUACGCUGCUCAAGUCAGGAUUUAAGGUAAUUCUUACUUGUAUUUUACAUUUUUCUUGCAUAUUGGCACACAGAAACACUAAGACUUGUGGUUUUGAUGACAAAUAUUCCCUGCUGCACGGUUAAAUUUGGAGAAUUGAUUGAGGUAUCCAGAACACACCUGCUGAAGUGUUUGGAAGGAAUAAGGACCUUUGCACUUCCAGAUUGAAUUCACAAGUUUUCUCACAGCAAGGGUUAGAAGAAUGUCAUGGCUAUGGGGAGUUUCAUACAUUGUGUGAGUACUGAGGCUGGUGGUAGGAUGCCUCAUUGUGCCCCAUUUCUGCUGGUUCUGUGAGGUGUUUUGAAUUCACUAGGAGCAUCCUUUCCAGCACAGUGGAAUCUGGUGAGAAGGUUAUUACACAUCCUACUGAUUUUCAGAAAGCAACGUGGAAACACCUUUGGUGCAACUAUUUAAAUCUGGUGAACCUUUUGUCCUCAGGACACCUCAGAAAACCUGAGCUCUUCUUUGGAGUCUCAAACUGCAACAGCAGCCAGGCUCCUCUCUGCCUUCUUGCCUCAGUUUAAAGUUGUAUGUAAAGAUAAAGAAAGGUUUUUCUAAUGCUUAUUAUCAUUAUCCAAUACUUUCCUCUGGUUUGAUUGUGUGUGCUGGCUAGAGAUACCCACAUAUGCUGAUAUUGUGGUGGGGGCAUGAGUUACCUGGAUUAAAAGAUGAGUUACCAUGGAUUUGAACCAUGAGCUGCCAUCACUACUUGGAAACCUAGCUGAAGCCAUCAAUAGUGCAGCAAAACCUGGAAAAGCUGCUCUCCGGAGCUGAUGCUGGAAUUCUGAAAGAACAGCAGUUGCCUCUUGUUCACCUUCCAAUACUGUUUAGUUCAACUGGCCCUUGUUUCUCAGGGUUAUGCUGCUGGAAAAUAAAGAAUGUAGUUCUCAUACUGAUGUGUGAGUGUAGUAGAGAUGUGUUAUUUGAAUCUACCAAAUAACGUAAUUUUUAUUUGAUUUGCAGAAUAUUUGUGAUUCAUCUGUUCUGCUGACCUGAUGUGUUUCCCUACAAUGUGUUACCAGUGCUCCAUCAGUGGCUCCAUCACCUGCUGAGUGCUGCCACUGCCAUGAAAGGGUGGAAAAAAUGUCCUUUCUUGCUGGGUUUAUGUGGUUCCUUUUUCCCCCUGUGGGCUGCUGGCAUCUGAUGAACAUGGUGCAGCUCUUGUUUCCUCCUUUGUUUCUUCCUCACUGGGAGACUGUCGUCACAAUGGACAAAACCUACUUAAUUCUGGGAUUUAUCAGAAUAAAAAUUCUACCUGGCCAAGCUGUGGUACAGCUCCUGUGACGGCUGGAUCUUAACUAUACCUUGGGCCCCGGCAGUGUCACAGAAAGGAGAAAUUUUUUAUUCAUAAACUAUAUCCAUUUCACAUUUAUAUAUACUGAAAUUCAAAGUAUUUGUUUUAGAUUGUGUAAUGUUCUACACAGGGCCAGGAGUUUGUUUGGCUUUAAAAAGAGUUUUAGUUAGGUUUAAAAGAGGAGGUUUGGGGUUUAAAAGAGACAGUUUUGUAGCUUUGAAUAGUUUUUGUGUUGUGGUGUAGUUCUGCUUUAACCUAAUGUUGUAUCAAACAUUUUUGUUACGGAAGCCUUUGGAAGAUGGGAGCAGAAAAGAGGAGUUGGCCAAAAUCCUUGUCUUUUCUAGGGAUCCAAUAAAGAAUGGAAGAUACUCA